UGGGGAAUAUUGGACAAUGGGCGAAAGCCUGAUCCAGCCAUGCCGCGUGUGUGAAGAAGGCCUUUUGGUUGUAAAGCACUUUAAGUGGGGAGGAAAAGCUUAUGGUUAAUACCCAUAAGCCCUGACGUUACCCACAGAAUAAGCACCGGCUAACUCUGUGCCAGCAGCCGCGGUAAUACAGAGGGUGCAAGCGUUAAUCGGAAUUACUGGGCGUAAAGCGCGCGUAGGUGGUUAUUUAAGUCAGAUGUGAAAGCCCCGGGCUUAACCUGGGAACUGCAUCUGAUGCUGGAUAACUAGAGUAGGUGAGAGGGGAGUAGAAUUCCAGGUGUAGCGGUGAAAUGCGUAGAGAUCUGGAGGAAUACCGAUGGCGAAGGCAGCUCCCUGGCAUCAUACUGACACUGAGGUGCGAAAGCGUGGGUAGCAAACAGGAUUAGAUACCCUGGUAGUCCACGCCGUAAACGAUGUCUACCAGUCGUUGGGUCUUUUAAAGACUUAGUGACGCAGUUAACGCAAUAAGUAGACCGCCUGGGGAGUACGGCCGCAAGGUUA
rnacentral:rRNA from 1 species